CAGAAGUCUUGUGCUGUUUCAUAAACUAGAGUAUCAGUGCAUAGGCAAUGCCAUAAAUUCUAGUAGCAAGCCUUAGAUUCUUCUGGUAAUGGCUACUUUGUGUGACUUAGAGAAAGGAGAAGCUUGGAUUUGCCUUCUGUGCUGAAUAAUCUUUGUAUUUCAGGUGAAAGCACAUCACCUGUAGUGGAAGAGCUAGAGGAUGAUUCUCUAACAGUGGAGAAAGUGCGCAGGAAGCAGAGAAGUCAUGAAACUCGAGAAGAGCAGGACUCUGGCAGUCCAUUUCAGGCUGGAAGAAGUAAGAAACAUCUUUCUUCUGAUGGUGACGAAGACGGUGAAAGAGGAUCACAGCUAAUUUCAGAUGGAGGCGCAGUAGUGAAAACCCAGUUAAGAAAAGAAAGGUCAUCAGAAGAGCAGAGGUACUAUAUCUGUCAAGGCCAGGGCCUUCUGGCCUACCUUCUACUUCUCUUAUUAA
rnacentral:lncRNA from 1 species